rnacentral:misc_RNA from 13 species
AAAUCCGAAGCGAAGGGUUGCCGUUAAGCCUAUGUCUCGGGUCUUCGGGAAAAGCUGAUAGGAGAUGUCGGUCGGUGUCGAGACGAGUUGGAGAUGCACACACGUUGUCAAGUAAUAACGCAGGUGCCUUUAGGUAACCUCAGCGAGGACUGAAACCUCGCGUAGAGCAAGAGGACAAAAGCUAGCUUUGAACCCGAUGCUCUCUGCGAAAGCACGGCUUAUCGAUCUUUUGGCUUCAAGAAUUUUCAGCAAGAGGUGUCAGAAAAGUUACAAAGGAUCCUGGAUUGUGGCGGCCAAGCGUUCAUGGCGAGGCUGCUUGUUGAUCCUUCGAUGUCGGUUCUUCCUAUCAUUGCGAAGCAGAAUUCGCCAAGCAUCGGAUUGGUCACCAGCCAAUAGGGAAUGGAAGCUGGGUUUAUACUGUCGAGAAACAGUUCAUUUUACGCUUCUGUUGAUACAUCAUUGCUAUAGUAAUCCUCUUUAGUACGAGAGGAACCGCAGGUUCGAUCAAUUAAUUGGUUCAUCCACUCGGUCGACAGGUUACCUUCAUGGGAUUAUGCCUGAUCGCCUCAAAGGCCGAAUCCUGGCUGUGAGCAAUGAUACGCUGUAUGUCUCGUUUGUCGGAAGACCCAAAAUCAUGCGACUUUAAUAGGCUUCUCGUUUAAGGGCCAUCGCAGAAGCCAAGUGACGAAAGACCGAGAACAAGUGGACAAACGUGUUGCAAAGACGAUCGAGCCUUUGUAUCGAAGGGAGAAAGACGUCACCUCGAAGGGUACUCUUAAUUCUUCAUCGACAGCUUU